GAUUUACAACUACAUUCACAACUUUUUAGUCAUCUCACCCACACACUUACAAAUUUUUUGUUCGAACUGUCAAAAAAAUGUCCCUUUGUUAGAGUUACAUACCCGAUAUGAAUUCGUACUCUAAUAAGAAUUCUAUGCGUUAGAGCGAGCAAGUUAGAAACAUCGGAGUUCUUAUGACAGUAUACAUACUGUGAAGAAAUGUCGCUGCGAAAAUUUUGAAGAUUGCAAAACAGCAGCGACUUAGUCACAUUCUUAAGAUUUGGGAUUCACCAUCAGUACCUUCAACGCUUGCAUCUUCAUCGCCAGGAGCACCAUUAAAACCUUCUGCCCUCAGCUUCUUCAUCGCCAGGAGCACCACCAGUACCUUCUAUCCUCAGCUCCUUCAUCGCCAGGAGCACCAUGGGUACGUUCCGCCCUCAGCACAUUCAAAGCCAGGAGCACCUUCAAAGUGUAGGUUCAACUUUUCAAAUUUUGCAAAGUUGUAAGAAAACUUAAUUUUUCUGAACCACUACAAAUGAUUUGCAACUCUUAA